AUCGAACGCUGGCGGCAGGCCUAACACAUGCAAGUCGAACGAGAGGCGGACGGGCGGGUAAUGUCUGGGCACCUGCCUGACGGAGGGGGAUAACUAGUGGAAACGGUGGAUACUAGCGCAUACCAUCGGAUGUGCCCACAUGGGAUUAGCUAGUGGGUGGGGUAAAGGCUCACCUAGGCGACGAGUCCUAGCUGGUCUGAGAGGAUGACCGGCCACACUGGAACUGAGACACGGUCCAGACUCCUACGGGAGGCAGCAGUGGGGAAUAUUGCACAAUGGGCGCAAGCCUGAUGCAGCCAUGCCGCGUGUAUGAAGAAGGCCUUCGGGUUGUAAAGUACUUUCAGCGGGGAGGCGUUACCCGCAGAAGAAGCACCGGCUAACUCCGUGCCAGCAGCCGCGGUAAUUC
rnacentral:rRNA from 1 species